rnacentral:rRNA from 1 species
AGCGAACGCUGGCGGCAGGCCUAACACAUGCAAGUCGAACGGACCCCUCGGGGUUAGUGGCGGACGGGUGAGUAACACGUGGGAACGUGCCUUUAGGUUCGGAAUAGCUCCUGGAAACGGGUGGUAAUGCCGAAUGUGCCCUUAGGGGGAAAGAUUUAUCGCCUUUAGAGCGGCCCGCGUCUGAUUAGCUAGUUGGUGAGGUAAUGGCUCACCAAGGCUACGAUCAGUAGCUGGUCUGAGAGGAUGACCAGCCACAUUGGGACUGAGACACGGCCCAAACUCCUACGGGAGGCAGCAGUGGGGAAUCUUGCGCAAUGGGCGAAAGCCUGACGCAGCCAUGCCGCGUGGAUGAUGAAGGUCUUAGGAUUGUAAAAUCCUUUCACCGGUGAAGAUAAUGACUGUAGCCGGAGAAGAAGCCCCGGCUAACUUCGUGCCAGCAGCCGCCGUAAGAC